UAAUUUUCACCCAAAAAAAAAAAGGGCCACUACUUCACUUCACUCGUUAAAUUCAGUUUGGCUUGCACUGUGAAAGCAUUCAUUUGAGUAACGGAGGGAUGUGAAACUCUUAUGUAGACGUGGAAACAGAGUUUUGAUGAAAGACAAAAGCUCCAAGGUCAGCUCAAGCUAGAAGGAGAAAUCUUCAAUCCACAUCUACCCAAUAAAAUCAUGUCGAGGGAUUUCUGUUUCUGAAGCACCAAUCACUUCUAUUGUUCCUAUAAAGUUACUUCCAUCUUAAUUGGGUUAAGGACCCCUUUCUUGGAUCGGAAGCAGUGAUUCGCCAUCGUUAGUACGGAAUGUGAGUAAUGAGGCUCUGAAGAUAUAAGUAUUUGGAGAAGAAGAUCUUCGCUCAAUUGGAAGGUCAAUCGUUCUCGGUGGUCUACGUGCACACAAAUGUGUGGAGGAGCAAGAACUUCCCCAGAAUCUCAACCCUAAGGCUAUGUUUGGUAGCCAAAAGAAGAAAAGAAAAGGAAAAAGAAUCUAGAAAAGAAAGAAAAAGAAA